UACAGAGGUCCCAAGCGUUGUUCGGAUUCAUUGGGCGUAAAGGGUGCGUAGGUGGCGCCGUAAGUCGGGUGUGAAAUUUCGGAGCUUAACUCCGAAACUGCAUUCGAUACUGCGGUGCUUGAGGACUGGAGAGGAGACUGGAAUUCAUGGUGUAGCAGUGAAAUGCGUAGAUAUCGUAAGGAAGACCAGUGGCGAAGGCGAGUCUCGUGGACAGCAACUGACGCUGAGGCACGAAGGCCAGGGGAGCAAACGGG
rnacentral:rRNA from 1 species